ACCCUCUCUAGGACACCUGAGCCAAUAACUCUCCACCAUACUUUAUAGUCCCAUUUGGGGACGCUAUUCUAUAGGUCACUAUCACUAGUAGUAACCUUCUGUCUCUCCUGAAAGGAUAAGACCAUACCCUAUAUUAUAAUUAACUGUAAAAGAGGUACUGCAUCUGCCAUCUUGCUAUAAUCAUGUCAGGUUAUCUGCUCUUUUAUCAUACUGCAAACCCCUUAAA
rnacentral:misc_RNA from 1 species